GGGAGAGAAACCACUAUUUACAAAUUUUAAAAUUUCCAAAAACUAAUGCUAAAACGAAAGACAAAAACCUACAAGGCUAACUCUACAACUCUAAGACUUAAGUCGCCAAAGUCCUCGACAAUGAUGUCAUUUGUUAAAAAGAAUUUGGUCGCACAAAAGCUCAACAAACCUAAAUUUUCCACUAAUGUAGUAUAGGGGAAACCUAGAGUAUCUAUCCAAGGACUUGGUACUUAUUAAGCUAGAAUUGUAGAAUUAAGCCUAAUUAUUUAUUUACUAAAACUAGGUGGGAAAAAGAUAAAAAUGAAAUUUAAAGAAAGAAACUAAAUGCUAAUGCGAACUAAUGUUUGUAUCUAUGAAUGCAUCAUACUUAAUAUAAAAUGAUGCAAAGGAGAAAAGGAUAAAACUAUAAUUUAUGCUAAAGGAAGAAUAAUGGAAUUCCUAAACUAAAAUGACGUAUUAAAAGAACCUAAAAUUCUAAGAAACUAAAGGCUAAAUACAUGAAAAACAAGGAUGAAUUGAUGCAUAUGAUUUGGAAAUGCAAAGAUCAAUACAAGAAGAGAAUCAGACUCCUAUUAGUAUACAACUACGUAAAGAAUCAAAACAAAACUGAUACAUUAGAAUUGGAAGAAAAAUG
rnacentral:lncRNA from 1 species